GGAAGCAUGCUGAUGCCUAGAGUUACUACUUACUCACAAGUGAACUUUAAGAACGUAUUUGUUGCUAUUAUCACAUUGUUACAAAGAUGGUAGAAUAGUACUGAGUCCACACUAUUUUGCGGGGAAAACAAAAGCAAAAUCUCCCUGAAGAAUACUCAAUGAGUGAGAGCCCAGCACUGUUCUACCAUUCUAUUACUAGCAGUUUUUAAGCCACAUUUUUCGUGUUUUGUUUUAAGAGCAAGAAUAAAAAUGAACUUUGGACUAACCUGAAUUCAGACUCUGAACACUCGCGUUCUGUGCAAUUUCUUUCAUCAGAUAAGUCACCGCAGUCGUCCACGGAGUCACAAGUAUACCUUCCAGGAAUGCACCUGUUAACAAAAGAGUUGAUGAACUAAAGGAAAGUACAUAAAUGAAGCAGAAGGACUGUCAAAAACAAAUUUAAACAAGGAACAUCUAUUUUUAGUGGCGAGAAUGCACUUCAAACAUGGACUCUUCAAAAUUCAAGCUUUUAGCCUUAACUUUAAAGCUUGGAUAGGUAGAGGCAUGAUAAAUCAUGGAUAUUUCAGUUCCUAUCCUCAGUUGCUACAUUAGAAUGAACAUUCUAGAAAAAAAAAAAAAUGUUUUGAAAUUUGAACGGAUAUUUGAUCAUUUUAGCUGUGAUAACUGAUUCAGCAGUUUAGGUAGAUUGUGUGGGAAGACUUAUCAAAAGAAGGUAAAACACUUGACAGAAGCAAUACAAAAUAGAACCAGAAUGAGAGGAUAUUUUUGUGCUUAAAUUACUCAUUAGCAAAGACAAACUUUGAACUCAUCCUAAGCUUUUCACUAUUUUCAAACCGUGGGUUAAUACAGAUUUGUCUUAGAAUAAGUCUUACUUGUUAUUAUUUUCGCAUCUGAAAUAUGUUGGUUCACAAGGAUGGAUUAGUGGAUCAGCGCACGAGGGAGGCUCAUCUUCAGCAUCAGGACAGUCUUUAUCACCAUCACAGAACCAAGACUUAGGUAUGCAACGCCCUGAUGAACAGCGGUGAUAUUCAUCCGUGCAAUUGCGUCGAGCGCACAUCUCAGAAACUUCAUCACUUUCAUCUCCAUCAACUCCACAAUCGAAAUCUCCAUCACAUACAUGAAGGGCAAAGAUACAUGCUCCAGACUCACACAAGAACUGUAAGAGAGACGUUAAGAUAAGAUUAUUGGGAUUAAAUAAAUUAUAUGUGAGUUGUUAAGAAAUUAAACCAACCAUUUGUAUUAAUCUUUUCAGAUAAAGCAUAAUGGACAAAAGAAAUAAAAUAAAGAUAAGUAAAAGCGAAGAGAAAAUGACUGUGAUACUAUCACUACUUAAUUGCCAAUGUGAAAAAGAACCCAAGAUUGCCAUGAUUGCCGUGAUUGCUGUGAUUGCCCUUUGAUAUGCUUGAUACUAAAUGUGGCGCUGCCUACAAAAGAUGCUCUGGCAUUAUCAGAACUAGAUGCUCCUGUAUUUCAGGGUUGAUUCGUUGAUAUUGGAAGUCACCAAAACUUGGUGCUUCCAUGAGCCUCCUCACAGCUCUCUUCUGAUCAGUGUCCCAACAAAAGACGUCCAGACAACUGGCAGAGCAUCUCAUCUAGUCGCUAAUAUUCACAGUUAUGUUUGCUACUGCCGCAACCAUGCAAGUAUACACUGAGAGAUUACUAUGUUACCAUAUCAGAUGUAAUCGCCCGGCUUAGGAGAUUUUGGGUGGGGCAUUGUUGCUAAUGGACCAAUAUAUUAAUACACAUUCUUACCAAGGGUGCAGUAAAAAUAAAAAUCGAAGGGUGAAUCAGGGCGAAUCAGGUCAAUUUGUGCCUUAAUAAUUGAUCUGAAUUAAUAAGUUGACGACUAACUUUUUGCCUCAAUAAUUAAUGCAGGUUAAUGAAUGAACAACUAACCUUUUAACUAUAAUUAUAGAAUCACAAAAAAAAAAAGGUUUAAAAAAAAGACGAAAAACCGUGGCCACCAAUGAAUUCUGAAACUUUCCCUUGUUCUGUCUAACUUGCUCCAAACCAUUACAUUCCAUUUUGAUCUGUUCCCUGGUAAAAGGAAACUGUGAAAAUCAGGGGACCAAAGUUGCGGUCCCUCUAGUGAUCUCAAAAAUCUCUUUCAAGUUGAUGAUCUUUUCAUUCAGCUUGAAAUAUUUCUUUAUAGCAUGUUCUAUGCAAUGAAUAAACUUCUUAAAUUAAAAUAGAACUCAUUAUUUGUUUUUGUCUUGUUGCGACAUUAUUCUCUUCUAUUAACCAUUUUUUAAAAUGCAUCAAACUUAUGCUACAAGUCCAACUUCAAAGGCUUCCUGUAUGUAUUAAUUUGUAAAAUAUAAAGAGAUCAAACAAAAAAAGUGUCCUAUCACAUUCCAU